CACGUAGGGCGCAAGCGUUGUCCGGAAUUAUUGGGCGUAAAGAGCUCGUAGGCGGCUUGUCACGUCGGAUGUGAAAGCCCGGGGCUUAACCCCGGGUCUGCAUUCGAUACGGGCAGGCUAGAGUGUGGUAGGGGAGAUCGGAAUUCCUGGUGUAGCGGUGAAAUGCGCAGAUAUCAGGAGGAACACCGGUGGCGAAGGCGGAUCUCUGGGCCAUUACUGACGCUGAGGAGCGAAAGCGUGGGGAGCGAACAGG
rnacentral:rRNA from 1 species